UAAGGAAUAUUGGUCAAUGGACGCAAGUCUGAACCAGCCAUGCCGCGUGAAGGAUGAAGGUCCUCUGGAUUGUAAACUUCUUUUAUCUGGGACGAAAACGGGAUUUUUAUCUCAAUUGACGGUACCAGAGGAAUAAGCACCUGCUAACUCCGUGCCAGCAGCCGCGGUAAUACGGAGGGUGCGAGCGUUAUCCGGAUUUACUGGGUUUAAAGGGUGCGUAGGUGGGCUUAUAAGUCAGUGGUGAAAUCUCCGAGCUUAACUUGGAAACUGCCGUUGAUACUAUAGGUCUUGAAUUAUCUGGAGGUAAGCGGAAUAUGUCAUGUAGCGGUGAAAUGCUUAGAUAUGACAUAGAACACCAAUUGCGAAGGCAGCUUACUACAUAUAAAUUGACGCUGAGGCACGAAAGCGUGGGGAUCAAACA
rnacentral:rRNA from 1 species